rnacentral:rRNA from 1 species
CCUACGGGAGGCAGCAGUGAGGAAUAUUGGUCAAUGGACGAGAGUCUGAACCAGCCAAGUAGCGUGAAGGAUGACUGCCCUAUGGGUUGUAAACUUCUUUUAUAAAGGAAUAAAACGAGGCACGUGUGCCUUUUUGCAUGUCCUUUAUGAAUAAGGAUCUGCUAACUCCGUGCCAGCAGCCGCGGUAAUACGGAGGAUCCGAGCGUUAUCCGGAUUUAUUGGGUUUAAAGGGAGCGUAGAUGGGUUGUUAAGUCAGUUGUGAAAGUUUGCGGCGCAACCGUAAAAUUGCAAUUGAUACUGGCAGUCUUGAGUACAGUUGAGGUAGGCGGAAUUCGUGGUGUAGCGGUGAAAUGCUUAGAUAUCACGAAGAACCCCGAUUGCGAAGGCAGCUUACUAAACUGUAACUGACGUUGAGGCUCGAAAGCGUGGGGAGCAAACAGGAUUAGAUACCCCGGUAGUC